rnacentral:rRNA from 1 species
ACACGACUACAUUAGAUACCCCCGUAGUCCUAGCCGUAAACGAUACUCGCUAGGUGUCGGCCACGGUGCGACCGUUGUCGGUGCCGUAGGGAAGCCGUGAAGCGAGCCACCUGGGAAGUACGGCCGCAAGGCUGAAACUUAAAGGAAUUGGCGGGGGAGCACCACAACGGGUGGAGCUUGCGGUUUAAUUGGAUUCAACGCCGGAAAUCUUACCGGGACCGACAGCAACAUGAAGGCCAGGCUGAAGACUUGCCGGAUUAGCUG